UCCCUGGUGGACUAGCGGCUAGCAUGCGGUGCUCUCAUCAUCACAGUCCGGGUUCGAAUCCCAGUCAGGGAG